rnacentral:rRNA from 1 species
AUUGAACGCUGGCGGCACGCCUAACACAUGCAAGUCGAGCGGUAACAUGGUUAGUAGCAAUACUAAUUGAUGACGAGCGGCGGACGGGUGAGUAACACGUAGGAACUUGCCCAAUAGAGGGGGAUAACCAGCGGAAACGCUGGCUAAUACCGCAUAUACUCGAGAGAGGAAAGCUGCCCGCAAGGGUGGCGCUAUUGGAGAGGCCUGCGUCCGAUUAGCUAGUUGGUGAGGUAAAGGCUCACCAAGGCGAGGAUCGGUAACUGGUCUGAGAGGACGACCAGUCACACUGGGACUGAGACACGGCCCAGACUCCUACGGGAGGCAGCAGUGGGGAAUCUUGGACAAUGGGGGCAACCCUGAUCCAGCGAUGCCGCGUGAGUGAAGAAGGCCUUCGGGUCGUAAAGCUCUUUAGGCUGGGAGGAAGGUUGGUAGUUUAAGAGAUAAUCAACUUGACUGUACCGGCGGAAUAAGCACCGGCAAACUCUGUGCCAGCCGCCGCGGUAA